rnacentral:rRNA from 1 species
CCUACGGGGGGCAGCAGUGAGGAAUAUUGGUCAAUGGGCGGGAGCCUGAACCAGCCAAGUCGCGUGAGGGAAGAAGGUACUGAGUAUUGUAAACCUCUUUUGCCAGGGGUCAAAGGCGGCCACGGGUGGCAGUAAGAGGGUACCUGGAGAAAAAGCAUCGCCUAACUCCGUGCCAGCAGCCGCGGUAAUACGGAGGAUGCGAGCGUUAUCCGGAUUUAGUGGGUUAACAGGGUGAGUAGGGGGGCUGUUAAGUCCGCGGUAAAAGGCCGGGGCUCAAACCGGGCGAGCCGUUGAAACUGGCUGUCUUGAGAUGUCGAGAGGUAUGCGGAAUGCGCAGUGGAGCGGUGAAAGGCUUAGAUAUGGCGCAGAACUCCGAUUGCGAAGGCAGCAUACCGGCGGCGAUCUGACGCUGAGGCACGAAAGCGUGGGUAUCGAACAGGAUUAGAUACCCGAGUAGUC